rnacentral:rRNA from 1 species
UACAGAGGUCCCAAGCGUUGUUCGGAUUCAUUGGGCGUAAAGGGUGCGUAGGUGGCGUCGUAAGUCGGGUGUGAAAUCUCGGGGCUUAACUCCGAAACUGCAUUCGAUACUGCGGUGCUUGAGGACUGGAGAGGAGACUGGAAUUUACGGUGUAGCAGUGAAAUGCGUAGAGAUCGUAAGGAAGACCAGUGGCGAAGGCGGGGUCUCUGGACAGUUCCUGACACUGAGACACGAAAGGCCAGGGGAGCAAACGGGG